CGAUUUGAUGUGAUUUUUGUGUUAUUAACAGAAAGAUCAUGUAAAGACCCUCUGGUUUAAAUGUUGCUUUGUUUGUGUUUUUCUCAUUAGGCGGAGUCUUUGAAGUUUUUAAAAGACGAUGGUAAUCAUACCUACUUGAAAAAUUCACUGAAUUAAUUUGGUUGCAAUAUUCUUUUACCAGUUGUUUAACAUUCAGCCACUAGGAAGCGUCAGGACAAGCAUGCCCAUGAGAACUCUAAACUGUUCAGGUCACUUUACAUUGGUGAAACUGACAAUUGAAACUGCUAUAGUUGAUGGGCGAAAUUUCUUCUAGACUUUUCAUCAUCCCAGUUUCAUCCUAGUUGAAAAUAUUUCAAUGCCAUAAGAAAUCUGUAGAUUUGCACUUAGCUGCAGAUGGACAUUUCUUUGAUAGUUUCUGUGAUGGAGAGAACUGUGUUAUAGCCUGGUCCAAGGACAUUCCCAUCUAAUGCGCAUCAACCACAGUGUGGGUGAGGAAGGUUCCAAAGAGAAGGAACAACCGUCAAGUUUGCAGACACCCUGAAACAUGGAAGCAAUGAAGCUUUAAAAGCACAGCCUUGGAGAUACUCCAUGAGUCUACUCUGCUUUCAGGCGAACUAGCAC
rnacentral:lncRNA from 1 species